GAGUUUGAUCCUGGCUCAGAUUGAACGCUGGCGGCAGGCUUAACACAUGCAAGUCGAACGGUAACAGGAAGAAAGCUUGCUUUCUUUGCUGACGAGUGGCGGACGGGUGAGUAAUGCUUGGGAAUCUGGCUCAUGGAGGGGGAUAACUACGGGAAACUGUAGCUAAUACCGCGUAGUAUCGGAAGAUGAAAGUGUGGGACCGCAAGGCCACAUGCCAUGAGAUGAGCCCAAGUGGGAUUAGGUAGUUGGUUAGGUAAAGGCUGACCAAGCCGACGAUCUCUAGCUGGUCUGAGAGGAUGACCAGCCACACUGGAACUGAGACACGGUCCAGACUCCUACGGGAGGCAGCAGUGGGGAAUAUUGCACAAUGGGGGAAACCCUGAUGCAGCCAUGCCGCGUGAAUGAAGAAGGCCUUCGGGUUGUAAAGUUCUUUCGGUGAUGAGGAAGGUGUUUGUUUUAAUAGGACAAGCAAUUGACGUUAGUCACAGAAGAAGCACCGGCUAACUCCGUGCCAGCAGCCGCGGUAAUACGGAGGGUGCGAGCGUUAAUCGGAAUAACUGGGCGUAAAGGGCACGCAGGCGGUGACUUAAGUGAGAUGUGAAAGCCCCGGGCUUAACCUGGGAAUUGCAUUUCAUACUGGGUCGCUAGAGUACUUUAGGGAGGGGUAGAAUUCCACGUGUAGCGGUGAAAUGCGUAGA
rnacentral:rRNA from 1 species